UGGGGAAUCUUGCACAAUGGGCGCAAGCCUGAUGCAGCAACGCCGCGUGCGGGAAGACGGCCCUAGGGUUGUAAACCGCUUUCAGGAGGGAAGAAAAUGACGGUACCUCCAGAAGAAGGUGCGGCCAACUACGUGCCAGCAGCCGCGUGACACGUAGGCACCAAGCGUUAUCCGGAUUUAUUGGGCGUAAAGAGCUCGUAGGCGGUUCGGUAAGUCGGGUGUGAAAUCCAAGGCUCAACCUUGGGACGCCACCCGAUACUGCUGUGACUCGAGUGCAGUAGGGGAGCAGGGAAUUCCUGGUGUAGCGGUGAAAUGCGCAGAUAUCAGGAGGAACACCAGUGGCGAAGGCGCUGCUCUGGGCUGUAACUGACGCUGAGGAGCGAAAGCAUGGGUAGCAAAA
rnacentral:rRNA from 1 species